UAUAGUAACUACAAUGCUGUGAAAUAGAUUAGACACAUGUGUCUCAAAAAGGGUUAGAACUAUUGACUAGCAGAACAGACAUUUCUUCAAAGCAUGUUCAACUAUCAAGGGUAGUCCUAUAAAUGUGACGUCCUUUGAUUUUGAGAUAUUUUUGCUUUUGGGCAACCUUGACUGACAUUUAAGCAAUAACAAGCCCGUAAGUCUGAUAUAUUGAUCUACUAUCCAGGCUUGUUGACUCUUCAAAGAAAUAAAGUAGAAAAAAUAAAAUGUUGUCUGGAAAAUCGCACAAAAAUCAAUAUUGUUGUCUCAUUUGAAUCAUUUUUGCAGUAAAAUUUCAGCAUUUCACAAUUUGAAAAAUAAUCAUGGACAAUAACCAUAAUUGUGCUGGAAUUGUUAGAUAAUUCUUAUUGACAAACCUUCUUCCUUAUAAGCAGUGCAGCAAUUCAUGUAUUGUAAUUGGUUUGAAUAGUCAAGAUUUUAGGCCAUGGUACUAGUAUGCUAUAUUUUCAAUUACAGAAUUAAAUCAAUUUCAUCGUCAUCAUGUGUUGCAAUACCACUACCAGGGACAUCAAAGAUGACCUGGACUUCAGUGCAUAUGCAGAGGAGAGUAGCACUAAAGAAAGCCAAUAAAAUCCUUUUGGAGUUGAAUUGAGACACAACCAUUCAUUUCUGGUUUAGUUAUAAAACUGCUACAGACUAUAAACUAUUCAUGAUGAUGGAAUACACCAAUGCCUAGUACAAUCAUGGCCCAUUAGAAACCAGAACAAACCAUGACUGCAAAGGAAAUAAGAUGCACAUAGUCUGAAAGAUCUGGCUGGUGUUCUGAAUAAGAUGACUGCAGGUAUGUUCUCAUCAGAAGUACAGCUGGCAUGUAGGGGUUUCACCAGCACAUCUUGAUGUAUUGUACAAAAGAUUUGCUUACACACCACCUGUUUAUAGGAUGCACAAUCUUCUUGCAGCCAUAGAUUAUAAUAUACAUGCAAAUAGACCAUACAUCACCAACAAGGGGGAUCUGUUAGACUUCAGCGAGUCUGGAUGAAUUAAAGAAGAAGAAAAAGUAUCAUUAUACCAUUUUUCAUGAUGCUAUAACUCUGAGAAUUAGUGACAUGGAGGGGAUAUAUAAAAUAGAAAGUUAGAGGAAGAUGACCCCCACAGACUUUCAAAAUAUUUGGCCCAAGUUAGCCCGAAGCCUACCCGAGCCAUUCAUGAGGAACAUAAAUCAAGAUAUGAUUGACUUUUUAUGGGAAAGAAUGAUAAAUAGUGUUGUGUUACACUGAUUGCCCAACUAUUCAAACAUAUUUAAGCUGACAUUGAACACCUGGUAUUCAUGAUAGUUUUAUGAAAUAUCUUUUUAGAUAUGGCACUGUAUCUAUCUUGUUUCGAAAAAAAUUCUCUUGAUUCAUUUGUCAUGACUCAAGGUCUGUUUUUAAUAUUUUGUCAGAAAAAUGACUACUUUUUAUACAAGUGCAAAAUAUUAUCCAAUCUAUUAAAGUAUAAGUGCUGCUAUGAGCUUUAAUGUAGUAACAAAGUUAAAAGUAUUAUUCAAUUAUAUCUUUUGAUAUACAUGUACUAUGUCAUUCACUUUAGCUCAGCUUUUCUUUUUUUCUUUUUUUGAAAAAAGAAAUAGAGGUUGCUGCCGUUGCCUUCUGCAAACUUGAACCUUGUUCAUAACUUUUAAAGUUCUUGGUGUAUUGUCUAACCUUGGCCUUCUUUCAUAAUUGACCUUGACCUUCAAGGUUAAAUGUCUAAAUUUUGGCUUUGCUUGUUAUUUGCUAUUAGUGGCUUUAACUUUAUUGCCCUUUGUUAAUUUUCAUAUUUCAUUUUUGUCUUGGCCAUUUCUCCUAAACUAUAUUGUUCACAAGGCAACACAUCCGACUCGCGGAGAUCUAGUUGUUAUUAGUUCAUGAAUUGUUUGUAGUCCAAUCUAGUUUAUUAGACCAAUGACACAGGGGCAUUUUAUAUAAAAUCCUUGUUCAAUCAAACAAGGCAAGCCUUAAAAUUAUCUUUGUAUUUACUCCCUCAUCCCAUUCCAGUUUAGAUAGGAUAGGUGGGCUGAUAAAAUAUUUAUUUUUGUGCCCCCACUUUAGUGGCGGGCAUUUAGAUUUACCCUUGUCCGUCCGUCCGUAUUUCACCUAGAGUCAUGAAACUUUACUGUAAUGUUGAUCAGCAAGUGUAGUUGUUCACCUUGGUAUUUUCAUCUGGAUAUUUUUAGUAUUUUCAGAGUUACUGCCAUUGAAUUUUUGCAAUUUUCAACUUGUGUCGCAUGUUACUCAAGAAGUAUUUGACCUACAGCAAUGAAACUUUACAGGAAUGUUGAACAUUAUGUGUAGUUGUGCACCUAGGUAUUUUCGUCUGGAUUUAGUAUUUUGAGAGUUAUGGCCCUUGACUUAGUAAAAUUUUGCAAUUUUCAACUUGUGUGGCAUGUAACUCAAAAAGUAUUUGACUUAGAGUCAUGAAACUUUACAGGAAUGUUGAUCAGCAUGUGUAGUUGCGCAUCUGGGUAUUUUCGUCUGGAAUUAUUUAGGAUUUUUAGAGUUAUUGCCCUUGACUUGGUAAAAUUUUGCAGUUUUCAACUUGUGUCACAUGUAACUCAAAAAGGAUUUGACAUAGAGUCAUUAAACCUUACGGGAAGGUUGCUCAGCAUAUUUAGUUUUGCACCUGGGGUUUGGCUUGUGGAUUUAUCCAGUAUUUGUAGAGUUAUUUCCCUUGACUUAGUAAAAAACAUUUCAUUAUGUUGUUAUUUGUUCCUUGAGUGCUUGAGUGAGAAUCAACCAACUUUACAGGAAUAAUGAUCAACAUCACUAAAUUACAGGAAUAAUGAUUUACAUCACUGUGAAGAUAUGAACCUGGGACUUUCAUGUGGAUUUUUUUCAGUUUUGUUAGAGUUAUUGCCCUUGACUUACAGUAGUAUAAAUUUACAAUUUUCAACUUGUUCAUGCAUAGCUCAAAAAGUAUUUAUGUUUUCUUUCAUUUCAUUCAGCCAAACAUAAAUAAUUUAUCAUUUAACUCCAUAAUUAAUAUCCUACAGGGAUAAAAUAUAAAUAAGAAAGACAAUAUAGGAGUGGCUACUACAGGUUCACUUUAAUUUAUCGAAUAAUUUACAAUUUUCAACUUGUUCAUGCAUAGCUCAAAAAGUAUUUCACUUGUAGGCCUGAAUGUUGAAAAGAAUGUUGGUCAGCAUGUGUACUUAUGCACCUUGGGGUUUACUUGUGAAUUUAUUCAGUAUUUGUAAAGUUCUUGCCCUUUACUUAGUAAAGUUUUCAAAAAAUAUUUGACCUAGAGUCAUAAGAUUGACAGAACAGUGGCGCGUAGGGGGGACCCGUGUCCUAUGGACACAUUCCUAGUUAUUCAAAAUGUUUGUCUUGUUUUAUUUUUCAUUAAAAUUAUAUGUAGUUCAAACAAAUUGUGUGCAUGAAAGCAUCUGUUUUACUUGAAAAUUUAGAACCAUAUUUUCAGUUUCAAUCAACAAAUAUCCCAACAUUUGUAUAUUUACAAUUAAGAAAUCACGAGACAGUUAAAAAGAUGUCAUUCUCAUUGACACUCUGAUUUCAUUUUAGUAAACAAAUCCUGGGCAAUAAGAUAUUUUAGGUAGCUGUGCUAUUUGUAGGUAGGUCGCGGGAGUGGGGAACAAACAAUAUUUUACAUUCAGGGGUAAGCCUAAGUUUUUAGGCUUGGUAGGAACAUUGCCCUUCCCCAGAUAAUGGCACCAACUGAUUUUGAGGUAAUUAGAUUUAAAUCUCAAGAUGGCAUAAAGUUUAACUUCCUUUAAAUAUGUGUAACAUUGUAAGGUAUAGUUUAUGUAACUCACAAGGAAAAAUUCUGAAUGCCAUUAGUUUUAAGAUUGGUCCAUUUGAUUAUAAGUUCAAGGUCUCAGUGACAUGUAAACUCAUUGUCCCAAGGUUUUGAACAUUUCCAGGGACAUUGCUUAGAUUAGUAAUUAAGCAUUAGUUUGGAGUUAAUAAGGUCUAAGGUCACAAUGGCUUAAGCAUAAUAUCCUUCAUCACCAGAAACCCAUAAGGGGUUAGCUCAAGUUCAUACAAUUUUGUUGGAAUUAAGAUAUUAUUUAUUUCCUUCUACAAUAUUGGCCAUCUUCACACUUUCUCUUCCUGUUAAGACAGCAUGGAUUGAAUAAAAAAUAAAACUAUAACUGUAAAGAAGUCACUGGUGUACAAUUUUAAGGGUAAGAAAAAGAAGAUAUGCUGUUCAUUUGAAAAUAUUUUAUUGUUGUUUUACUGCCAAUGUUCAAAUACAUGUUUCAAUUUAUCUGUGUUUUUGUUAUUUUAACAACAUUCCAAAAUGUGUCCUGAAACGUGCUAAGAGAAGUGAAGUGUAAAUUAACAUUGAAAGGUAUUUGUAAAACAUUGUUACAAUCUGUGAUCUUAUUUGAAUUUUAAAAAAGUACAUUUGACAUCAGAAAAUAGAGAAAUAAAGAAUUCCUGCAGAAAGCCCAAAAUGACAAAAUUGAAACUGUUGCAGGCUCUAUUUGGUGAGCCUGUUGGAAAGUGCAAGUUACCUUCCAUGCCCCCCUAGCACCAGCUUUAGCAGAAUUCAACAUUUGAACAUAAAGUGGUGAAAUUUAUGGUUUUAUGCCAUACCGGUGUACAUAAUCCAGAGAUUAGGAUUUAAUUCUUGGCAAUCUUAUUUUCAGUGGAAUGCAACUGUUCAUUGUUAACAGAAUAAUAUUUACACAGGUUGCACUGUGUUUGUAUUGGAAUGAAAUUCUCAUUAGUACAUUAUUUUCCAUAAUGUGCACUU